rnacentral:tRNA from 1 species
GUUUUAAUAAUUUAAUGAAAAUAUUGGUCUUGUAAACCAAAAAUAAGAUGAACUUUUAAAACC